GACGAACGCUGGCGGCGUGCUUAACACAUGCAAGUCGAACGAAGUGGCGAACGGGUGAGUAACGCGUAAUCAACCUGCCCUUCAGAGGGGGACAACAGUUGGAAACGACUGCUAAUACCGCAUACUGAAGGAGGGGAGUGCGUCUGCUUAGCUAGUUGGGGGGGGAACGGCCCAACAAGGCCAUGAUCAGUAGCCGGUCUGGGGUGAUGGACCGCCACAAUGGGACUUAGGCACGGCCCAGACCCCUACGGGAGGCAGCAGGUGGGAAUCUUCCGCAAUGGACGAAAGUCUGACGGAGCAACGCCGCGUGAGUGAUGACGGCCUUCGGGUUGUAAAGCUCUGUUAAUCGGGACGCGGUACCGGAAUAGAAAGCCACGGCUAACUACGUGCCAGCAGCCGCGGUAAUAC
rnacentral:rRNA from 1 species